GUGGGGAAUCUUGCGCAAUGGGCGAAAGCCUGACGCAGCCAUGCCGCGUGAAUGAUGAAGGUCUUAGGAUUGUAAAAUUCUUUCACCGGGGACGAUAAUGACGGUACCCGGAGAAGAAGCCCCGGCUAACUUCGUGCCAGCAGCCGCGGUAAUACGAAGGGGGCUAGCGUUGCUCGGAAUUACUGGGCGUAAAGGGCGCGUAGGCGGACAGUUUAGUCAGAGGUGAAAGCCCAGGGCUCAACCUUGGAAUUGCCUUUGAGACUGGCUGUCUUGAGUACGGGAGAGGUGAGUGGAACUCCGAGUGGAGAGGUGAAAUUCGUAGAUAUUCGGAAGAACACCAGUGGCGAAGGCGACUCACUGGCCCGUUACUGACGCUGAGGCGCGAAAGCGUGGGGAGCAAACAGGAUUAGAUACCCCGGUAGUCC
rnacentral:rRNA from 1 species